AAUCUUCCGCAAUGGACGAAAGUCUGACGGAGCAACGCCGCGUGAGUGAUGAAGGUUUUCGGAUCGUAAAACUCUGUUGUUAGGGAAGAACAAGUACGAGAGUAACUGCUCGUACCUUGACGGUACCUAACCAGAAAGCCACGGCUAACUACGUGCCAGCAGCCGCGGUAAUACGUAGGUGGCAAGCGUUGUCCGGAAUUAUUGGGCGUAAAGCGCUCGCAGGCGGUCUUUUAAGUCUGAUGUGAAAUCUUACGGCUCAACCGUAAGCGGUCAUUGGAAACUGGAGGACUUGAGUACAGAAGAGGAGAGUGGAAUUCCACGUGUAGCGGUGAAAUGCGUAGAGAUGUGGAGGAACACCAGUGGCGAAGGCGACUCUCUGGUCUGUAACUGACGCUGAGGAGCGAAAGCGUGGGGAGCAAACA
rnacentral:rRNA from 1 species